rnacentral:lncRNA from 1 species
AAAAAUCAUCAAAGACAUACUCUUUACUCUCUAGUAUUACAAUUACAAGAAAAGCUGGAUUAAUCAAUGCUACAGGCCCACCAGUGUUGUACCCAAGAGGUUAGGGGCGGUGAUCUCAAUUAAAAGGAAAAGAUAGACUUAUUAUCUUCCUCCAAACAAAUACAAGUAGCUGCUGCACAAUAGAAGAAUGAGUUAGGUGAGAACAAAGAAAGAAAGAGAGGUAGCGCAAGAGACAAAACAAAGAGGAGGUUUACAAAAGACUUAGAUGUGAAGGAAAUUGGAAGAGGCGGUGAUAGAAAGAAGUAAAUCCUUAACGUUGAAGGAAUUUUGGGGCGGUGAAUCAGAAUUUUACAGGGCUAUAUAUAGAGCAUCACAGAUCAAAGGAAGAAAGUUCUUUUUUUGGGGGGAGCAGACUCACGACACACUACACAGACACUACAUGCAACAAAGAGAAGAGCUUUGGAGAUAGAAAUUGAAGAUUCGAGUCUUGGAGCAAGAAUUUUCCUUUCUUUUAGGUUAUUUCUUGUUCUUAAUUUCAUGAAUUCUAUCUCUAUUUUAGUGUUGUUUUUGAUUAUGGAUAGCUAAAUUAGUCUCUAGGGUCUUAGGUGAAUCUUGUAUGUUGAGAUACCUUGUCAUGUUCUAGUUUAUUAAUUAUAAUUUCUAUUUCUAUUCCAAUUAAAUUGUUCUAUUGAUUUUAUCACAUGAUUAGGAAUGACCAAACCUUUGCAUGUUAACAAUCAGUUAAUUGAUCAGCGAUCGUACUGCAAUUAAUUGGUGGACCUAUAGAACAAUUGAGACUAGAAUUAUUGCAUGAUCAAACCUUAGUUUUAGUCUUCCAAUCAUUCAACCUUUUUGUUCUUUAUGCUUUUCUUGAGUUUCAACUCUUUGAAUGAUCAAACGAAGUGUUAACUUAGGAGAAAGAAUAUUAAUCACGAAUGACCAAACGG